rnacentral:rRNA from 1 species
UACGUAGGGGGCCAGCGUUGCUCGGAAUUACUGGGCGUAAAGGGCUCGUAGGCGGCCAACUAAGUCAGACGUGAAAUCCCUCGGCUUAACCGGGGAACUGCGUCUGAUACUGGAUGGCUAGAGAUUGGGAGAGGGAUGCGGAAUUCCAGGUGUAGCGGUGAAAUGCGUAGAUAUCUGGAGGAACACCGGUGGCGAAGGCGGCAUCCUGGACCGGUAUUGACGCUGAGUGAGCGAAAGCCAGGGGAGCAAACGGG